ensembl:snoRNA
UCUGAUCUAUGAUGACUCUCAAGUGAGCAGACUGCUGGAUGAAGCUUGCGGAUAUGGGACUGAGAUCAGAC